UCCUACGGGACGCAGCAGUGGGGAAUAUUGCACAAUGGGGGGAACCCUGAUGCAGCGACGCCGCGUGGGUGAAGGAGCGUUUCGGCGCGUAAAGCCCUAUCGGCAGGGAAGAAGAUGACGGUACCUGACCAAGAAGCCCCGGCUAACUACGUGCCAGCAGCCGCGGUAAUACGGAGGUGGCAAGCGUUGUCCGGAUUUACUGGGUGUAAAGGGCGUGUAGCCGGGAAGGCAAGUCAGAUGUGAAAUCUGGAGGCUCAACCUCCAAAUUGCAUUUGAAACUGUUUUUCUUGAGUACUGGAGAGGCA
rnacentral:rRNA from 1 species